AGAGGAUACAUGGUGAUGCUGACCUCCAGGGCCAGCUGCUUGGCUUGCCAAGACAGUGUCCUCAGAGACUGUGCAUGCAGACCCACAGCCUACCUGCCCUGCCCCCGGGUCCUUGCUCUGUCUUUAGCCAGCCUUUGUGGGCGUUCACUUCCCAGCACUACGAGGGAGGCUGACUGGCCUAUUUCCUCCUGACUCAAGGAAGGUUUGCUUGCUGAAAGAUUAUCCAGAAAAGAAGAAAUUUGAACACAGAGAGAGACAUGCACAUGAAAAAGGUGAUGUAAAGAGAUGAAGGAGGUGACAGCCAUCUAUAAACCAAGGAGAGAGCCUGAAACCUUUCUUUUACGGCCCUUUGAAGGAACCAACCCUG
rnacentral:lncRNA from 10 species